rnacentral:rRNA from 1 species
AAUAGAUACCCCGGUAGUCCACGCUGUAAACGAUGAGUGCUAGGUGUAGGUAGGCUCAUACCCAUCUGUGCCGAAGCUAACGCAUUAAGCACUCCGCCUGGGGAGUACGGUCGCAAGACUGAAACUCAAAGGAAUUGACGGGGGCCCGCACAAGCAGUGGAGCAUGUGGUUUAAUUCGAAGCAACGCGAAGAACCUUACCAGGACUUGACAUCCCAUAGACCAGUCUAGAGAUAGACUUUCCCUUCGGGGCUGUGGUGACAGGUGGUGCAUGGUUGUCGUCAGUUCGUGUCGUGAGAUGUUGGGUUAAGUCCCGCAACGAGCGCAACCCUUACUUUGUGUUGCCAGCAUUCAGUUGGGCACUCACAAGGGACUGCCGCCGAUAAGGCGGAGGAAGGUGGGGAUGACGUCAAAUCAUCAUGCCCCUUAUGUCCUGGGCUACACACGUGCUACAAUGGGCGGUACAACGGGAUGCGAAGCCGCGAGGUGGAGCCAAACCCUGAAAACCGUUCGUAGUUCGGA